CCUACGGGAGGCAGCAGUGGGGAAUAUUGGACAAUGGGGGGAACCCUGAUCCAGCGACGCCGCGUGAGUGAAGAAGUAUUUCGGUAUGUAAAGCUCUAUCAGCAGGUAAGAAAGAAAUGACGGUACCUGACCAAGAAGCCCCGGCUAACUACGUGCCAGCAGCCGCGGUAAUACGUAGGGGGCAAGCGUUAUCCGGAUUUACUGGGUGUAAAGGUAGCGUAGACGGUGCAGCAAGUCUGAUGUGAAAGGUCGGGGCCCAACCCCGGGACUGCAUUGGAAACUGUUUAACUGGAGUACAGGAGAGGUAAGCGGAAUUCCUAGUGUAGCGGUGAAAUGCGUAGAUAUUAGGAGGAACACCAGUGGCGAAGGCGGCUUACUGGACUGUAACUGACGUUGAGGCUCGAAAGCGUGGGGAGCAAACAGGAUUAGAUACCCGGGUAGUC
rnacentral:rRNA from 1 species